rnacentral:rRNA from 1 species
CCUACGGGGGGCAGCAGUGGGGAAUAUUGCACAAUGGGCGCAAGCCUGAUGCAGCCAUGCCGCGUGUGUGAAGAAGGCCUUCGGGUUGUAAAGCACUUUCAGCGGGGAGGAAGGCGUUAAGGUUAAUAACCUUGUCGAUUGACGUUACCCGCAGAAGAAGCACCGGCUAACUCCGUGCCAGCAGCCGCGGUAAUACGGAGGGUGCAAGCGUUAAUCGGAAUUACUGGGCGUAAAGCGCACGCAGGCGGUCUGUCAAGUCGGAUGUGAAAUCCCCGGGCUCAACCUGGGAACUGCAUUCGAAACUGGCAGGCAAGAGUCUUGUAGAGGGGGGUAGAAUUCCAGGUGUAGCGGUGAAAUGCGUAGAGAUCUGGAGGAAUACCGGUGGCGAAGGCGGCCCCCUGGACAAAGACUGACGCUCAGGUGCGAAAGCGUGGGGAGCAAACAGGAUUAGAUACCCGAGUAGUC